rnacentral:rRNA from 1 species
UUGACAUGGGGGAACCUGACCGCCUGCCGCGUGAGUGAUGAAGGCCUUCGGGUUGUAAAGCUCUUUUGUGUGGGAAGAUAAUGACUGUACCACAAGAAUAAGCCCCGGCUAACUUCGUGCCAGCAGCCGCGGUAAUACGAAGGGGGCUAGCGUUGUUCGGAAUUACUGGGCGUAAAGGGUGCGUAGGUGGUUAUGUAAGUCAGAAGUGAAAGCCCUGGGCUCAACCCGGGAAUUGCUUUUGAAACUAUGUAGUUAGAGUUCGAGAGAGGUAAGUGGAAUAUCCAGUGUAGAGGUAAAAUUCGUAGAUAUUGGAUGGAACACCAGUGGCGAAGGCGGCUUACUGGCUCGAUACUGACACUGAGGCACGAAA